rnacentral:misc_RNA from 1 species
GAAAUGCGAUACGUAAUGUGAAUUGCAGAAUUCAGUGAAUCAUCGAGUCUUUGAACGCACAUUGCGCCCCCUGGUAUUCCGGGGGGCAUGCCUGUCCGAGCGUGAUUGCUGCCCUCAAGCACGGCUUGUGUGUUGGGCCCCCGUCCCCCCCCCAAGGGGACGGGCCCGAAAGGCAGCGGCGGCACCGUGUCCGGUCCUCGAGCGUAUGGGAAGCAACUUUUUGUCACCCGCUCCUGUAGGUCCGGCCGGCGGCCUGCCCAACCCCAACCUUUUUUUCAACCAGGUUGACCUCGGAUCAGGUAGGGAUACCCGCUGAACUUAAGC